rnacentral:snoRNA from 1 species
GCUGGCAUCGUGAUGAUUGUGACUCUUUGCCGUUUACCCAGCUGAUAUUUGUGAUGAGUUACACUGUAUCUGAUGUGCCAGC